rnacentral:lncRNA from 1 species
GCCAGGGGGUCCACAGUGGUCUUGUCUUGUCGCUGGAGGGGCCCGCCGGCUGAGAGGUCCCGUCUAGCUAUGGGACCCGCCGGCUAGCCAAUGAGGCUCUUGCGUAGGGCCGACGCGGGUACGUCUGGCGUAGUCUUGUGAGAUUCGUCAUGGGCUGCCAAUACGGCCGUCUCCACUGUUCCCACGCUGAGUGCGGUAAUGGAGUGGGAGUUUGACGGGCCGAUACUGUGCAGGAUGAUGGAUCGGAGCCGGGGUAGGUCAGCGGCAUGGCCGCCAACGCUGUACCUGCCGUGCGCUCCAAACCUAUACUCGUGCUGUCGAGUACGCAGCUUUGAUCGUAAGGUCUCGUCAUGACCUACGAUCUGAUGUGACUUGGGCUCCCUGGCCGGCCAGCGACCUCGCUAGCCGGCCCUGGGAACGACCGCCUCGCCCCUAGCCGGCCAACACGUCCUGGACGGCCAGAGGGAGGUAGCCGUCUCGCCUCUAGCCGGCAGGGGCUUCCUAGCCGGCCAAAGGGAUUUGGCCGUCUCGCCUCUAGCCGACAGGGGCUUCCUAGUCGGCCAGAGGGAGAUGUGCUUUCCCUUCAAAGUAGAAGGCAAAGGAGUAGGCUCGAUGAGCCUUCCCCGGGGUUAUCCCCCCGUCACUAGAUGUUUCGUCCCUCGAGCUUAACGAGAAAAUGAGCAACUAGUUGAUCUUAUAAGCAGCCCAUUCCCAAAGCAACCAAAUGGAUCCAAUCAGUCAGGCUAACCAAUGCAUGUCAGCAGUAAUGAAAAACAGAAAAUGGCAUAAACAAACCUCCCUACAAAAAACACAACAAAAGCUUUCAAAAAACAUAACUUUGAUAUGUCCGCACCAAAUGAACUUGAAUAUUAUCGAUAACAGAGAUAAACAAAAGCAUAACCUAUUUAUUAUCCUAUUUAGUCAAAUAACUAUGCAGAUAUUAACUCAUUCAGUAAUCUCCACUUAUUGUUUUUGGUCAGGCUGUAAACAGUGAUUCCUUAAGUGCUUGUUCGGCGAUUGAGGAUUUUGACUUGUAGGAAAUUUAAGCCCUCUUGAUUCCCUUUAAACCCCUCCAAAUCCCAUGUGACCGAAAAGCCCUAAGUGGUGACCAGUAGAUUAGAAUUGCCACAUUUCAGGUAGGAUGACUUCACCCUACUACAGAAAUAACAUCUCUAGCAGCCAUGUUUCAGAUAUUGCCACUGCUUAUUACCUGGAAUAAAUUUCAGCACCGUAUGAAUCCGAGAUGUAGGAAGUUUGCUCAAUUUCUAGCAUAGCGCAUAUCACUUUGAAACAAUCUCCAGAUGUUCGUUCAGCAUCCUUCAGUACAAAAUGCCUUCCAAUCUAUACCUAAUAAUAAAGAGGCUAUUGCUUCCGUCGGAAAACCUACCGCGAUAUUUUUAUAAAAAAAACCUGUAAUUUUUGUUAUUUAACCCGUGCUCCAUCAUUUAUCUGUAACGCAAAAGGAAAAAACGAUUCGCUGCAAAAAUUAUACCCGUACGCAUCGCCUCCUCCCGUCGACCCUGGGCCACCCUGGUCUGUGCCCAGGCCGCCGCCACACCACUCGCCACCGCGGCCGACCUCAACCGCCACCGCUGCCGAUCUCAACCCACCCGCCUCCGCAGCCGUACCUCUCCCUGCUCAUUACCCCCGUUGCGGCGCUCGAGCGCAUCGCGUCGACCCUGGUCCACCCUGGCGUGUGCCCAGGCCGCUGCCACACCACUCGCCGCUGCGGACGACCUCAACCACCACUGUUGUCGAUCUCAACCCACCCGCCUCCGCGGCCGUACCUCUGCCCGCUUGCUGCCCCCGUUUCGGCGCUCGAGCACAGCUUCUGGAUCAAAUCAACGCGACAACUACAGUGACUGGGGAUGAUGCGUCUGCUCGAUGCAGAACGGCGGCGGCGCGGCGGAGCGAAGUACUUGCAGGUGGAGUCGGGCCUCCAUGGCUCACACGGGGAACUCCGAGGUUAUGGCGCGGCAACGGCGACUCCUUAUGGCCAGAUAGAGGUGCCUAACCCUUGCUC